CUCCUGAUCCUCCCCAUCUGUGAAUAUAAAGGUCUUGAGGACACAGACACAGAGAAAGAGAGAUGGUGUUAAAGGAACUCAAUAUAAAGGUCUUGAGGACACAGACACAGAGAAAGAGAGAUGGUGUUAAAGGAACUCAAUAUAAAGGUCUUGAGGACACAGACACAGAGAAAGAGAGAUGGUGUUAAAGGAACUCAAUAUAAAGGUCUUGAGGACACAGACACAGAGAAAGAGAGAUGGUGUUAAAGGAACUCAAUAUAAAGGUCUUGAGGACACAGACACAGAGAAAGAGAGAUGGUGUUAAAGGAACUCAAUAUAAAGGUCUUGAGGACACAGACACAGAGAAAGAGAGAUGGUGUUAAAGGAACUCAAUAUAAAGGUCUUGAGGACACAGACACAGAGAAAGAGAGAUGGUGUUAAAGGAACUCAAUAUAAAGGUCUUGAGGACACAGACACAGAGAAAGAGAGAUGGUGUUAAAGGAACUCAAUAUAAAGGUCUUGAGGACACAGACACAGAGAAAGAGAGAUGGUGUUAAAGGAACUCAAUAUAAAGGUCUUGAGGACACAGACACAGAGAAAGAGAGAUGGUGUUAAAGGAACUCAAUAUAAAGGUCUUGAGGACACAGACACAGAGAAAGAGAGAUGGUGUUAAAGGAACUCAAUAUAAAGGUCUUGAGGACACAGACACAGAGAAAGAGAGAUGGUGUUAAAGGAACUCAAUAUAAAGGUCUUGAGGACACAAACAGAGAAAGAGAGAUGGUGUUAAAGGAACUCAAUAUAAAGGUCUUGAGGACACAGACACAGACACAGACAGACAGACACAGACGUAACGGAACUCAAACGUGCAACCUGAAUUUGGACAGAAACACCUGGAAAUGAUUUUUACUGCUAAAGACUGCCAAGGACUACCCAGCAACACAACAACCAGCAGGUAAAGACUGCUGAGGACUACCCAGCAACACAACAACCAGCAGGUAAAGACUGCCAAGGACUACCCAGCAACACAAAAACCAGCAGGUAAAGACUGCCAAGGACUACCCAGCAACACAACAACCAGCAGGUAAAGACUGCUAAGGACUACCCAGCAACACAACAACCAGCAGGUAAAGACUGCCAAGGACUACCCAGCAACACAAAAACCAGCAGGUAAAGACUGCUAAGGACCACCCAGCAACACAACAACCAGCAGGUAAAGACUGCUAAGGACCACCCAGCAACACAACAACCAGCAGGUAAAGACUGCUAAGGACUACCCAGCAACACACCAACCAGCAGGUAAAGACUGCCAAGGACUACCCAGCAACACAAAAACCAGCAGGUAAAGACUGCUAAGGACUACCCAGCAACACAACAACCAGCAGGUAGAGACUGCCAAGGACUACCCAGCAACACAACAACCACCAGGUAAAGACAGCCAAGGACCACCCAGCAACACAACAACCAGCAGGUACAGACUGCCAAGGACUACCCAGCAACACAACAACCAGCAGGUAAAGACUGCCAAGGACUACCCAGCAACCAGCAGGUAAAGACUGCCAAGGACUACCCAAAAACACACCAACCAGCAGGUAAAGACAGCCAAGGACUACCCAGCAACACAACAACCAGCAGGUAAAGACUGCUAAGGACUACCCAGCAACACAACAACCAGCAGGUAAAGACUGCUAAGGACUACCCAGCAACACAACAACCAGCAGGUAGAGACUGCCAAGGACUACCCAGCAACACAACAACCACCAGGUAAAGACAGCCAAGGACUACCCAGCAACACAACAACCAGCAGGUAGAGACUGCCAAGGACUACCCAGCAACCAGCAGGUACAGACUGCCAAGGACUACCCAAAAACACACCAACCAGCAGGUAAAGACUGCUAAGGACUACCCAGCAACACAACAACCAGCAGGUAAAGACUGCCAAGGACUACCCAGCAACACAAAAACCAGCAGGUAAAGACAGCCAAGGACUACCCAGCAACACAACAACCAGCAGGUAAAGACUGCUAAGGACUACCCAGCAACACAACAACCAGCAGGUAAAGACUGCCAAGGACUACCCAGCAACACAACAACCAGCAGGUAAAGAUGCUAAGGACUACCCAGCAACACAACAACCAGCAGGUAGAGACUGCCAAGGACUACCCAGCAACACAACAACCAGCAGGUAAAGACUGCCAAGGACUACCCAGCAACCAGCAGGUAAAGACUGCCUAGGACUCCCCAAAAACACACCAACCAGCAGGUAAAGACAGCUAAGGACUACCCAGCAACACAACAACCAGCAGGUAAAGACUGCUAAGGACUACCCAGCAACACAACAACCAGCAGGUAAAGACUGCUAAGGACUACCCAGCAACACAACAACCAGCAGGUAAAGACUGCUAAGGACUAACCAGCAACACAACAACCACCAGGUAAAGACUGCUAAGGACUACCCAUCAACACAACAACCAGCAGGUAAAGACUGCUAAGGACUACCCACCAACACAACAACCACCAGGUAAAGACUGCUAAGGACCACCCAGCAACACAAAAACCAGCAGGUAAAGACUGCCAAGGACUACCCAGCAACACAACAACCAACAGGUAAAGACUGCUAAGGACGACCCAGCAACACAACAACCAGCAGGUAAAGACUGCUAAGGACUACCCAGCAACACAACAACCAGCAGGUAAAGACUGCUAAGGACUACCCAGCAACACAACAACCAGCAGGUAAAGAAUGCUUAGGACCACCCAGCAACACAACAACCACCAGGUAAAGACAGCUAAGGACUACCCAGCAACACAACAACCAGCAGGUAAAGAAUGCUUAGGACCACCCAGCAACACAACAACCACCAGGUAAAGACUGCUAAGGACUACCCAGCAACACAACAACCAGCAGGUAAAGAAUGCUUAGGACCACCCAGCAACACAACAACCACCAGGUAAAGACUGCUAAGGACGACCCAGCAACACAACAACCAGCAGGUAAAGACUGCUAAGGACUACCCAGCAACACAACAACCAGCAGGUAAAGACUGCUAAGGACCACCCAGCAACACAACAACCAACAGGUAAAGACUGCUAAGGACGACCCAGCAACACAACAACCACCAGGUAAAGACUGCUAAGGACUACCCAGCAACACAACAACCAGCAGGUAAAGACUUCUUAGGACUACCCAGCAACACAACAACCACCAGGUAAAGACUGCUAAGGACCACCCAGCAACACAACAACCAACAGGUAAAGACUGCUAAGGACGACCCAGCAACACAACAACCAGCAGGUAAAGACUGCUAAGGACCACCCAGCAACACAACAACCAGCAGGUAAAGACUGCUAAGGACUACCCAGCAACACAACAACCAGCAGGUAAAGACUGCUAAGGACUACCCAGCAACACAACAACCAGCAGGUAAAGACUGCUAAGGACCACCCAGCAACACAACAACCAGCAGGUAAAGACUGCUAAGGAUUACCCAGCAACACAACAACCAGCAGAAAAAGCACAGCAAAAACCUAAAUACCGCCCAACCUACAACUGAUUGAGUAGAUUUCCAAUCUGUAGCUACUUCCCAGGCUGAGAAUUAAUUGAACGAUGUUACAAUAAUCUCUAGAGAUUUUACUAGAAGAUACGGUAUUUUACUAUAUGAAGGCUCAAAUGCUUAGUUAGGACAGACGUCCCGGCAGCAAAUUCAAUUUACACGGAGGUGUGAAGUGAGAGGUGUGAAUUCCCUUGAAUACAACAAUGGCAGCAAAGCACCACAGCCUCCUCAACCCAAAUUAACAGGCCUCACACUCCUAUGCAGAGGCCACACCCCUAUGCAGAGGCCACUCCCUAUGCAGAGGCCACACCCCUAUGCAGAGGCCACACCCCUAUGCAGAGGCCACAUCCCUAUGCAGAGGCCACAUCCCUAUGCAGAGGCCACACCCCUAUGCAGAGGCCACACCCCUAUGCAGAGGCCACACCCCUAUGCAGAGGCCACAUCCCCAUGCAGAGGCCACACCCCUAUGCAGAGGCCACAUCCCCAUGCAGAGGCCACACCCAUAUGCAGAGGCCACACCCCUAUGCAGAGGCCACAUCCCUACGCAGAGGCAAUCAAAGUACAGUUCACCCCAUAAUUUAAAAAUGAUCCUGUAUGUAAAAAGUACAAAUAGAAGCUCCACAAGGAAUAUCCAGAGACACUAUUUGCUUAACAACCUCAUCUUCCACACCGACCAGUCCACUGGCACAGCACAGGGCCAUAAGAGCACACUACCCCUCUGUCAGGAGAGAGGGUAUUAAUUCAGGGUGGAAACUCAGAAUACUGGACAUUGAGGACACAGAGACAGCCUGUUUCAACAUGUACA